ACUGCAGGGAGGAUGAGAAAAGUGGGAACAGGUGUGAAGAUGGAUGAGGCAGUCAGGUGAUGGAGGAAGGAGGGAAAGUCUGAGGGCAUCUGGUGUGUCUCUCUGUCACUACAUGGACUUGAGACAAAGAAAUCUGUCCACCUGUAACUGAUGAAGACUUCCAUGUCUUCUGGCUCUGCCCACAUGUCCAACAGGUCUGGUUGGAGUCUCGGUCUCAGCAUCCCCUCAUCCCUCAUCACUGCUUUACUUGUUCAAAAUGUCCACAUCACAAACACCUACAAACAUGUCAGACCUGCUGCUACCAGACUCUUCAGUGUCCUCUGCAUGUAAAUGUGUAGUUGGGUGGUGUCAGCAGUGAGGGGGAAACAGCAGGACAUGUUGAGGACAGCUACAGUCCACUGACUCUGUGUGUUUGCAUAUGUGUCCUGCCUCUGUGCUCCCAGCCGUUAAGAGGCCAGUGUUGAUCAGUGGCUGUCCAGGCCUUUCAGAGCCACUGACCUGCCGGCAGCACAAUGAUGAUGUCCCUGAUCCUACUGCUGCUCACCCUGGGGCUCCUUGUUCAGGAUUCAUCAGGAGAAAUCAUCCUGACUCAGUCUCCUCAGACUCAGUCUGUUGUUCCGGGACAGACUGUCUCCAUCAGCUGUAGAGCCAGUUCAAGUAUGGGUAGCUACCUGCACUGGUACCUUCAGAAACCUGGAGAAGCUCCUAAACUUCUAGUUUAUUAUGCUACAACUCGUUACUCUGGAGUUCCUGAUCGUUUUAGUGGAAGUGGAUCUGGGAUUGACUUCACUCUGACCAUCAGUGGAAUUCAGGGUGAAGAUUCAGGAGUUUAUUACUGUCUACAGUGUGGUUACAGCUUCCCGUUCACACAGUGAAACAACAUCGUACAAAAACCUCCUCAGCUGGAAGAACUGAUCUGAAUCAGCAGCAGCACAGAAAUGAAAACACUAAGGCUUUCAGUAAAAUACACUUUAGACAAUAACAGGGAUAGAAGGUAACUGUCAGUAUAAAAGGAAUAUGUGUAUUUCUUUCUAUAAUAAUAUUGUUGCCGUUUAUUCCAAAUUUUUUGAAAGUC